ensembl:lncRNA
CCCAGAGACCCAGGAAAAAGGAAGGGGUUCAGCAGCCUUCUGUGAUGGCUGACGUCCCUGAGGUGGAAGGCUGGGGAGGGACAAGAUAUACGUCAUUGCCUAAUCCAUUCACUGAUUCUAUGCUCAAGGUCACAUCUCCUCCGUUGGACAGGUCAAAGCGGGAGGAAGGCUUUCUGUACGGUUACUUGCAUCCAAGGCACCUAUGGGGGAACAGCUUACAUCUGUGUCUGAACAGAACUCCUUGUGGGCAACCAUCAAGACCAGAGCUUGGAAGGAGGACAAGGAACCAGAUGUAGAGAUGUUCUGUAGGUGGAGAGCCAGCUCCUUCAGGUUCUGUUCACCACCGAGGAAUGAGAGAAGAUCCAAAAUGAGGCCAGGAAAUUGGUUUCUGGUGACAAUGGUCAACCCACCACCAAUGCUGACACUAUCAACACUUCUUUUCCUCUGUCUCAACUCAACUGGGACUUCAACAUGGCAGAAGGUAAGGAGAG